rnacentral:ncRNA from 1 species
CAAAGGCUUAGUCCUGACUUUAUUAUCAGCUCUAGCUAUACUUACACAUGCAAGUAUCCGCACCCCUGUGAAAAUGCCCCACAGUUCCCUGUUUGGGAACGAGGAGCCGGUAUCAGGCACAACAAAAAUAGCCCACGACGCCUUGCUAAGCCACACCCCCAAGGGAAUUCAGCAGUGAUAGACAUUAAGCCAUGAGUGAAAACUUGACUUAGUUAAAGCUAAGAGGGCCGGUAAAACUCGUGCCAGCCACCGCGGUUAGACGAGAGGCUCAAGUUGAUAAACAAUCGGCGUAAAGAGUGGUUAUGGAAACUACGAAACUAAAGCCAAAUGCCCCCAAGGCUGUUAUACGCACCCGGAGGCCAGAAGCCCAACCACGAAAGUGGCUUUAUGUUACCUGAAUCCACGAAAGCUAUGGAACAAACUGGGAUUAGAUACCCCACUAUGCCUAGCCCUAAACAAUGAUAAUGGACCACAAUCGUUAUCCGCCAGGGUACUACGAGCAACAGCUUAAAACCCAAAGGACUUGGCGGUGCUUUAGAUCCACCUAGAGGAGCCUGUUCUAGAACCGAUAAUCCCCGUUAAACCUCACCCCUCCUUGUUUUUCCCGCCUAUAUACCGCCGUCGUCAGCUUACCCUGUGAGGGACCAAUAGUAAGCGCAAUUGGCACAGCCCAAAACGCCAGGUCGAGGUGUAGCGUAUGGAGGGGGAAGAAAUGGGCUACAUUCAGUGCAUCACUGAACACGAAAGGUGGGCUGAAACGCCCACCCGAAGGAGGAUUUAGCAGUAAGUAGGAAAUAGAGUGUCCUACUGAAACCGGCCCUGAAGCGCGUACACACCGCCCGUCACUCUCCCCGAAACCUACUUAAAAGGUACCUAACACCUAAUCAUCCAUUAAGGGGAGGCAAGUCGUAACAUGGUAAGUGUACCGGAAGGUGCACUUGGAAAAAAAU